rnacentral:rRNA from 1 species
AUUGAACGCUGGCGGCAGGCCUAACACAUGCAAGUCGAACGAGUGGCGGACGGGUGAGUAAUGUCUGGGAAACUGCCUGAUGGAGGGGGAUAACUACUGGAAACGGUAGCUAAUACCGCAUACCCUAAGCUGUGCCGAGAUGGGAUUAGCUAGGAGGGGGGGUAACGGCUCACCUAGGCGACGCUCCCUAGCUGGCCUGAGAGGAUGACCAGCCACCCUGGAACUGAGACACGGUCCAGACUCCUACGGUAGGCAGCAGUGGGGAAUAUUGCACAAUGGGGGCAUGCCUGAUGCAGCCAUGCCGCGUGUAUGAAGAAGGCCUUCGGGUUGUAAAGUGCUUUCAGCGGGGAGGCGUUACCCGCAGAAGAAGCCCCGGCUAACUCCGUGCCAGCCGCCGCGGUAAUAC